rnacentral:lncRNA from 1 species
CGUCUCUCUCUCUCUCUCUCUCUCUCUCUCUCUCUCAUCAAAGAGUUUGUCGGCGUCAUUGUAGUUCUCGCCGUCGAAAUGGUUUGGAUCUUCUCAUCAGGUCUUCGUGUCGUCGACUCGUCGUGGCUUUACUCUUCGUCUCUUUGAUGACACCUUGCAAAAAACAAGCCUGGUGAGCUCCGCCAUUGUCCACCAACUCCAAUUCCUUGUCUUCACCAACCUCGUCAACCUCCUCUUCACCAAUUCCAUGAGUCCUUAAUUCUCACUCGCCGACCUCGAUCUCCUUCUUAAUCGUUGCAGUCACCGAAGUCAGCAGCAUUCACGCAGCUGACUUUAAAGGGAAACAUGUUUCUGAUUUCUUCUUUUGUGGAAACGCUUUUCUGCGCGUUUCGUUUCUGAAACGCAAAACGCGGGUUUUUUAACGUUUCGGUGCAUCAUAGCUACCAUGUCUUUAGAAAGUCUAAUAUCAACCAUGUCAUUCGGGUUGCGUAAGAACCUUGACUGAGAAGCAAUUCUCAAGACAUAUGUUAAGGAUUCGAGGCAUAAUAUUCUCUAUAGCUUCUUAACUCUGCUUGGGAUGCUUUUAGAUCAUUGAGCUGAAAGGAAGUUAGUGCACAUUAAUCACAAUUAAACCAUACUAAGCAGAAAGAAAAAUAGGAAAACUGUUAAGACCCACCCCGAAUUUCAUCAUGAAACCCGAAGUAAAUCCUGCAGGGACCACCUCCAAGGAUAAUUUACCGAAAAUUCGGCAUAACCUCCCUUGAAAAUAGACAACCCUUCCUAGAAAAUACUUGCAUACACUUCAAAAUAAUCCAUCUAUAACCCUCCAAGGAAAAUUUACCGAAAAUUCGGCAUAACCUCCCUUGAAAAUAGACAACCCUUCCUAGAAAAUACCUGCAUACAGUUCAAAAGAAUCCAUCUAUAACCCUCUACUCUUGGAGCCUUCGUGCUCCCCAAAUCACAACAUCUCCCAAUUUAUUUACUAACUAAAAAAAA